UACGAAGGGGGCUAGCGUUGUUCGGAUUUACUGGGCGUAAAGCGCGUGUAGGCGGACUUGUAAGUUGGGGGUGAAAUCCCGAGGCUCAACCUCGGAACUGCCUUCAAAACUACAAGUCUGGACUCAAGUAGAGGCAAGUGGAAUUGCGAGUGUAGAGGUGAAAUUCGUAGAUAUUCGCAGGAACACCAGUGGCGAAGGCGACUUGCUGGACUUGUAGUGACGCUGAGACGCGAAAGCGUGGGGAGCAAACAGG
rnacentral:rRNA from 1 species